rnacentral:misc_RNA from 1 species
ACGUAUCCAACGUUAAAAACCCCGUGAACCUUCAUCGCCGCUCCUCAUGGCUAAGUCUUGGAUAAAGCCAAACAGCAAUCCCUGCACUCGUCCUGUUUGACAGAGCACUAUGGGUUUAAGAGCGCUUGGUAAGGUGGCUUGUUUUUCCCCAAGCAAUCAGGAAGUAUCAGUGUUUCUGAUUCUAAGGAUUUCGCUUGACGAUCACUGGAGGUCGAUUACUGACCGGUGGAACAAGUCACAGGGCUUCGGCUCCCUCCCCAACCCCACUUUCUAUUGCCACUCCGCGCUAACAACGCCGGGCAUUAAAAAACGUUUAAACUGUUAACAAUGGAUAUCUUGGUUCU